UUUCUUGGCUUGGCCUGUGAGGUGGGAAAUGGUAGAACAGGAGGCCCACAAGGCAGCAGCCGACUGUUUGAAAAUCUAGUAGAUUUUAACUUCUUGUGGUUCCUCAUACUUGUUCUUGUCUUGUUAAAAUGUCUUACGAACCAGUGCCACCUUGAAUUACAGGGCGCCGUUGAAAGGAGUGAUAACUGGAGUUGAAGAUUCCUGGUGUCUGUGACACCUGCCGUUUGGUGCGAUGCAGACCCGGUGGAGAGCGUGGUGAAACAGAGAAGACACUCUCUGUAAUACUGAGUUUUGAUGCAGAGUUUUUACCAGAUAAAGUCAAGUUAUGGUCAUGUGGCAGCUGUCUAGUUAACUAUGUGUAUGACACCACCUACUGGUGCUGAGUACUCGCUGACACUACCUACAGCAGAUUAUGAAACAAGGAAACCAUUCAGCUGGGGGAAGAGCUUCCACCACCACACCACUAACACACAAACAGAUUUCCUUCCUAACCUCAUCUCCUCAAACUCAGGUCUGGAAACUGAGGCCAUCUCUGUAAGGAACUCACUGUUGGUCCAUGUGAGAGUGAGGUGGGAAAAAGCAUCAUACCAAUGACUGUAUUGAAGGAGGAGGGCCUUCUUCUAACAGCCGUUUCCUGUGCCCAUAGCGGGAGCCAGAUUCCUUUCAUGAGCAUCUGUAGAGCUGCAUCUGCACUGCUGAAGGAGAAUGCCCAACAUUCCCAGAAUACGAACACAUACCGCUGUAGAUCAGACUAAAGCAGGACUUCUAUACAGACUACUUAUAGUCAUAGCAUCUGUAUGAUAUAUCCAGCUUAUUACAUGAGUUUGGGUUUCUAAUGAAAUGUCUCUCUUUAAGGCUAUUGUUGUCAUUAAUCAUUUCAAAGAGCCAUGCCCAAAAACAGAAAUACCAAGACAUUCUAAACAGCUUAAUCUUUUGAAGUUAGGAAUGCAAUUUCGGAUGCAGCGUCGCAGGACAAACAUGCCCAAAUAAAGUAUAAGACAGACUUCAGUUGCCUCAAAUUUGACCUUCCCUAUGCUGGUCAUAUGUCACAAACGUAGACAAGAAAUGUAUCUACCUCAGAGCAGACCUGGGUUCAAUACAUGCAUAUCUGUGUAUUUUCAAAUGAUUUCACCAAAUCAACUCCUUUAAUUUUAAGUAUUCUUUAAUAAUUAUAUUAAUAGCCAUUCUCAGUUACUUCAAAUACCCCUAGGACCAAAUGGACAAAUGCAAAGAGUAUUUUAAUAUUUGUAUUCGAAAAUACACUUCUGUGUAUUUAAGCAUUUAAGUACAUGCCAGUACUUUUAAAGUGUAUUUCCAAGUACAUUGCAAUAUUCAACUACUUGUAUUUCCAAAUAAAAAAUAUCAAAAUAUUCA